GGUAUUCCAAGAUGGCUUUUUCUUUUUAUACAUAAAUUAUUUAGCCAGGCUUUAUAAUAGCUCCUAGUAUCAUACGCUUCAGGAGUUGUAAGAUGAGUGACCGCCCUUUAAAGG